rnacentral:rRNA from 1 species
GUGGGGAAUCUUAGACAAUGGGGGAAACCCUGAUCUAGCCAUGCCGCGUGAGCGAUGAAGGCCUUAGGGUUGUAAAGCUCUUUCAGCUGGGAAGAUAAUGACGGUACCAGCAGAAGAAGCCCCGGCUAACUCCGUGCCAGCAGCCGCGGUAAUACGGAGGGGGCUAGCGUUGUUCGGAAUUACUGGGCGUAAAGCGCACGUAGGCGGACCAGAAAGUUGGGGGUGAAAUCCCGGGGCUCAACCCCGGAACUGCCUUCAAAACUGCUGGUCUUGAGGUCGAGAGAGGUGAGUGGAAUUCCGAGUGUAGAGGUGAAAUUCGUAGAUAUUCGGAGGAACACCAGUGGCGAAGGCGGCUCACUGGCUCGAUACUGACGCUGAGGUGCGAAAGCGUGGGGAGCAAACAGGAUUAGAAACCCUAGUAGUCC